AAACAUGCAAGUCGAACGGCAGCACGGACUUCGGUCUGGUGGCGAGUGGCGAACGGGUGAGUAAUGUAUCGGAACGUGCCCAGUAGCGGGGGAUAACUACGCGAAAGCGUAGCUAAUACCGCAUACGCCCUACGGGGGAAAGCAGGGGAUCGCAAGACCUUGCACUAUUGGAGCGGCCGAUAUCGGAUUAGCUAGUUGGUGGGGUAACGGCUCACCAAGGCGACGAUCCGUAGCUGGUUUGAGAGGACGACCAGCCACACUGGGACUGAGACACGGCCCAGACUCCUACGGGAGGCAGCAGUGGGGAAUUUUGGACAAUGGGGGCAACCCUGAUCCAGCCAUCCCGCGUGUGCGAUGAAGGCCUUCGGGUUGUAAAGCACUUUUGGCAGGAAAGAAACGUCGCGGGUUAAUACCCCGCGAAACUGACGGUACCUGCAGAAUAAGCACCGGCUAACUACGUGCCAGCAGCCGCGGUAAUACGUAGGGUGCAAGCGUUAAUCGGAAUUACUGGGCGUAAAGCGUGCGCAGGCGGUUCGGAAAGAAAGAUGUGAAAUCCCAGAGCUUAACUUUGGAACUGCAUUUUUAACUACCGGGCUAGAGUGUGUCAGAGGGAGGUGGAAUUCCGCGUGUAGCAGUGAAAUGCGUAGAUAUGCGGAGGAACACCGAUGGCGAAGGCAGCCUCCUGGGAUAACACUGACGCUCAUGCACGAAAGCGUGGGGAGCAAACAGGAUUAGAUACCUUGGGUAGUCCG
rnacentral:rRNA from 1 species